AAUCAACGCUGGCGGCGUGCCUCAGACAUGCAAGUCGAACGAUUAAAGCUCUCUUCGGAGAGUGUAUAGAGUGGCGCACGGGUGAGUAACGACGUAAGUAAUCUACCUUUGAGUGGGGAAUAACAAUCGGAAACGAUUGCUAAUACCGCAUAAUGCAGCGGCAUCGCAAGAUGACAGUUGUUAAAGGAGCAAUCCGCUUAAAGAGGAGCUUGCGGCAGAUUAGCUAGUUGGUAAGGUAAUGGCUUACCAAGGCUACGAUCUGUAACCGGUCUAAGAGGACGGUCGGUCACACUGACACUGAAUAACGGGUCAGACUCCUACGGGAGGCAGCAGUCGGGAAUUUUGGGCAAUGGGCGAAAGCCUGACCCAGCAACGCCGCGUGAAGGAUGAAGUAUUUCGGUAUGUAAACUUCGAAAGAAUGGGAAGAAUCAAUGACGGUA
rnacentral:rRNA from 1 species